rnacentral:tRNA from 1 species
UCCCUUGUAGCUUAGCUGGUAAAGAAUCUGCCUGCAAUGCAGGAGACCUGGGUUUGAUCCCUGGGUUGGAA